UGGUGGAGUGAUUUGUCUGGUUAAUUCCGAUAACGAACGAGACUCUGUCCUGCUAACUAGGUUGUGUUUUCUCGGGUUGGUGUUUCUGGUGUUCCUUCUCGGGGCGCCGGCCCAAUCCGCUUGUGAACACAACACUCUUCUUAGAGGGACUGGCGGCUGUUAGCCGCACGAGAUAGAGCAAUAACA
rnacentral:rRNA from 1 species